rnacentral:rRNA from 1 species
UACGAAGGGGCUAGCGUUGCUCGGAAUUACUGGGCGUAAAGCGCACGUAGGCGGCUCUUUAAGUCGGAGGUGAAAUCCUGGAGCUCAACUCCAGAACUGCCUUCGAUACUGAAGAGCUCGAGUCCGGGAGAGGUGAGUGGAACUGCGAGUGUAGAGGUGAAAUUCGUAGAUAUUCGCAAGAACACCAGUGGCGAAGGCGGCUCACUGGCCCGGUACUGACGCUGAGGUGCGAAAGCGUGGGAGCAACAGG